GCCAGACUCCUACGGGAGGCAGCAGUGGGGGAUAUUGCACAAUGGGGGAAACCCUGAUGCAGCAACGCCGCGUGAGUGAAGAAGUAUUUCGGUAUGUAAAGCUCUAUCAGCAGGGAAGAGAAUGACGGUACCUGACUAAGAAGCCCCGGCUAACUACGUGCCAGCAGCCGCGGUAAUACGUAGGGGGCGAGCGUUAUCCGGAUUUACUGGGUGUAAAGGGAGCGUAGACGGCUGGUCAAGUCUGAAGUGAAAGCCCGGGGCUUAACCCCGGAACGGCUUUGGAAACUGAGCAGCUAGAGUGCUGGAGAGGUAAGCGGAAUUCCUAGUGUAGCGGUGAAAUGCGUAGAUAUUAGGAGGAACACCAGUGGCGAAGGCGGCUUACUGGACAGUAACUGACGUUGAGGCUCGAAAGCGUGGGGAGCAAACAGGAUUAGAUACCCCCGUA
rnacentral:rRNA from 1 species